CAUCCUACGGGACGCAGCAGUGGGGAAUAUUGCACAAUGGGGGAAACCCUGAUGCAGCGACGCCGCGUGAGUGAAGAAGUAUUUCGGUAUGUAAACCAUUGUCGUUAGGGAAGAAGAAGUGACAGUACCUAAGGAGGAAGCUCCGGCUAACUAUGUGCCAGCAGCCGCGGUAAUACAUAGGGAGCGAGCGUUAUCCGGAUUUAUUGGGUGUAAAGGGUGCGUAGACGGGAAUACAAGUUGGUUGUGAAAGCCCUCGGCUUAACUGAGGAACUGCAACCAAAACUAUAUUUCUUGAGUAUCGGAGG
rnacentral:rRNA from 1 species